AUACGUAGGGGGCGAGCGUUGUCCGGAAUGAUUGGGCGUAAAGGGCGCGUAGGCGGCGCGGUAAGUCUGGAGUGAAAGUCCUGCUUUCAAGGUGGGAAUUGCUUUGGAUAUUGCCGCGCUUGAGUGCAGGAGAGGUUAUCGGAAUUCCCGGUGUAGCGGUGAAAUGCGUAGAGAUCGGGAGGAACACCAGUGGCGAAGGCGGGUAACUGGACUGCAACUGACGCUGAGGCGCGAAAGUGUGGGGAGCAAACAGGAUAGAUACCCUGGUAGUCCACGUUGUAAACGAUGAUUACUAGGUGUGGGGGGACUGACCCCUUCCGUGCCGCAGUUAACACAAUAAGUAAUCCACCUGGGGAGUACGGCCGCAAGGUUGAAACUCAAAUGAAUUGACGGGG
rnacentral:rRNA from 1 species